rnacentral:lncRNA from 1 species
UCCCCUCUUCUCUACCUCACUCGGAAUCCAUUCCGAUCAAUUCUCUUAAUCUCUUUGUUCACGUUCUUCGAUCUCUACAAUCCGUCGUAGUAUCAACUUCUACAGAUAACAAUAUUAAUCAAUUUUAGAUUAAUAAUAAGAUAAUUUUGUCGUUUUUUAUGAAUUCUAAAUUUACAAUAUCUACUAAUUAGUUUUUUUAUUUCGAAUAAAAAAUGGUAUUUUACAUAAAUAAGUUAAUAAACAAAAUUAAAUGGUUUGACAUAAAAAAAUAUACAUACAUCGUAAUUCAUAUACAGUCAUACAGUAAUACAGAGUUAGCUAUGGAUAUCCCGAAUCCAAAAACUUUUUUAUUCGACCAAAUAUUCAGACAUAUUUACUUUGAAAACUUUGGGUAUAUAAUUAUAGAGAACAGUUUUUGUGCAAACACAAAAUUGAAAAAGAUGAUGCACAAUGUUUGAAGACAUGAAUUUAACCAUCUAAUUAAUAAUUGUAGCAGGAUGAUUAUGUAAUUAGAUAAUGGGUUGGCCAUUACAAAAUAAGCUAGAUGCGUUGAAUGAAAUGUUAAGUUCGAUAAUAAAAGAUAAACGUGGAUGUAAUAGAGAUUACAUUAGGGGCGAUACCAUCACGUCGUGAGACGUGGCCGCGUCGCCGUACUGUUUGGGUCGAUGUUGGUGACGCCAACUGUGUUGCUUUGUCCAUGUUUGGUGAAGUCCUCCGGUGGUCUGCAUUGCCCAUUGAUGAUCUCCAGUAGCUUGUGUCGCUGGAGUGGCUUGGGCGUUCCGGCUUCGUUUGAGCAUGGUGGUGAUCGGUGGAGUGAACCAUUGUAAUGUGAAGUGUUGGUUCCUUGGUUGAAGUUUGAAGUAUAUGUAUCAUCCAUCUUGAUAGCCG